GCAUCGACCAGAGGGAAAAGGAGCAAUCCGCUUUGAGAUGGCCUCGCGUCCGAUUAGCUAGUUGGUGAGGUAAUGGCCCACCAAGGCGACGAUCGGUAGCCGGACUGAGAGGUUGAACGGCCACAUUGGGACUGAGACACGGCCCAGACUCCUACGGGAGGCAGCAGUGGGGAAUAUUGCACAAUGGGGGAAACCCUGAUGCAGCGACGCCGCGUGGAGGAAGAAGGUCUUCGGAUUGUAAACUCCUGUUGUUGAGGAAGAUAAUGACGGUACUCAACAAGGAAGUGACGGCUAACUACGUGCCAGCAGCCGCGGUAAAACGUAGGUCACAAGCGUUGUCCGGAAUUACUGGGUGUAAAGGGAGCGCAGGCGGGAAGACAAGUUGGAAGUGAAAUCUAUGGGCUCAACCCAUAAACUGCUUUCAAAACUGUUUUUCUUGAGUAGUGCAGAGGUAGGCGGGAUUCCCGGUGUAGCGGUGGAAUGCGUAGAUAUCGGGAGGAACACCGGUGGCGAAGGCGGCCUACUGGGCACCAACUGACGCUGAGGCUCGAAAGUGUGGGUAGCAAACAGGAUUAGAUACCCUGGUAGUCCACACCGUAAACGAUGAUUACUAGGUGUUGGAGGAUUGACCCCUUCAGUG
rnacentral:rRNA from 1 species